ACAGCCAUAUUGCGUUGAUACACCGGUUCUCCUAUGAUCACCGAAGUUAAGCAACGUCGAAUUUGGUCAAUACCUAGAUGGGUGACCGAUAGGAACUCCAGGGGCUGUAAG